rnacentral:rRNA from 1 species
AUGCAGCGACGCCGCGUGAGGGAUGAAGGCCUUCGGGUUGUAAACCUCUUUCAGCAGGGACGAAGCGUGAGUGACGGUACCUGCAGAAGAAGCACCGGCUAACUACGUGCCAGCAGCCGCGGUAAUACGUAGGGUGCGAGCGUUGUCCGGAAUUACUGGGCGUAAAGAGUUCGUAGGCGGUUUGUCGCGUCGUUUGUGAAAACCCGGGGCUCAACUUCGGGCUUGCAGGCGAUACGGGCAGACUUGAGUGUUUCAGGGGAGACUGGAAUUCCUGGUGUAGCGGUGAAAUGCGCAGAUAUCAGGAGGAACACCGGUGGCGAAGGCGGGUCUCUGGGAAACAACUGACGCUGAGGAACGAAAGCGUGGGUAGCAAACAGGAUUAGAUACCCUGGUA